rnacentral:lncRNA from 1 species
CCAGAGUCAAUUCGAUGCAAGAACUAUUACAACAGAAAAUGCUGUCUUUCUCUUCAAACCGAAUAUCUAGCGAUAACAGUCCAGCUGUUUCAGUAUAUCGGAAAAAACUGGCUAUAAUGAAUAAAGUACGAACUUUCAUAUUUAUUGUGAUUCUUUGUGUCUGCAUCUCAUUUAGUGUAUGUUAUGUCAUGAACAGGCCAAGAGAUACUACAUCAGAAACUCAUUCCGAACUUUGCGUUUUGAAGCUGGAUCAAAUAAAACUAAACUCGUUGGUUAAUUCUUCAUAUAUUCCUUUUGUGGAUGCGAAAUGUGAUAGUUUAUCUUACAAUACACAAGAUCUGAAGUUCGAAGUUAAAAUGUCCGGUAGCUUUGAGCUCUCAUUGUCAGUUGCUCUACAAUUAAACAAAGCCGGAGUGCUCUGAUGUGUAUAAACUAUAAUCUUAGCAACGACAAGAAAAGACUUGUGUGUAGCAGGGCUCAAUUUCCUUCCAAUGAUCCAAAUUCUGCGUUUAUAAAUUUGGGUUUACCAGACGGAGCAAAAUUGAAUGCACGUGAUGAAUUUUCGUGUGAAAAUAAUUCUUAAUGUAUAUAUUCAGGAUUCCUUGACCAGACUGGUUGUCACAUAUUACAAGCCUUAAAUCCUAUUUAUGUGAUAAGGUUUCCUAUGCGAUAAGAAGCGUAAUAAAAGAACAAACCAAUUGCAAAUCAUAUGUGUAAAAUAAAUAUUGAAAGGAAAUGGACUGGUAGUUACAUAUAAGAAACAAUUGAGUUGAGAGAGAGAGAUAUAGAAAGAAAAAGAAAGAAAAAGAAAGAAAAAAAGAAAGAAAGAAAGAAAGAAAGAAAAUUACAUCUCAAAGUCUAGAAGUGAGUCUGUGUUCUCUCUCAUUUUCAACAUUUUUUGCAAAAAGUUGGAUGUGGGUGUGGGUUGGAUUGGGUGUCAAAACAGCCUCGCUUUCCGCAACGCUCAUACGCUCUUGAUUUGCCUUUACAUGGGACUAAGAAAUAAAACAUGUUUGUUAUUGAUUGUUAUUCAUUUGUGUUUUAAUGUUUUUAAUGUGAUGAAAUAUAAAUCUAAUUCAGGAGUCUUAAGAAUUACAAUAUUCAGAAGACGAUGUAGAAAACCUAAAGUAACAGGGUAACAAAGACGGGUAUUCAAAAAAAUUGAAAAAAAAAGACUUUUUAGAACGGAAGCAUUUUCUAAGAAAUAAAUUACGUAUACUCCAAAGGAACAAAUACAAUCUCCGGUUCACAGGUGGUUUGUGAACAUUAUUUCCUUAUGAAAAAAAUGCAGCAAAAGCAGAUAUCUAUUAUAUCUUGCGGAUGUAAAACAAACAAACGAACCUACGCAAUAUUUCGACAAAAAACAGCGGAAGCUGAGAUAUCUAUCAAUUAUUUCCUAAGAUAACAGGGACAACAACACGCUGGUAUAUACCACAUACUUUAGGAAAUCAUUUCUUUUUGUUUAGGUUCGUAGUCUCAGAAAUAUGUGCUACGAACUAGGAAGUUAUCUAUAAACAUCGCAAAGGUGUAGCUGCCUGAGAUUUUUUUGUUUUGUCUUGCUCCCUGCCGAAAUACUAUAUUGUAGGUACAUGGAAUAAGAAGCUUCUAUGCAUGAAAAUAUUCUAUAGAUAUAUAAUGCUUGUAGUGUCCCGGUAAGUUAGAGCAUGUUGUUUCAGAAGGAACAAGAAUAUAGACAAAUAUGGAUUGAAUUUCUUGAGUCUAUAAUAUUGUAUUGUUUCCUGAAGAAAAUAAUCCCCAUGCAGCUAUAUCAUACACUUAGUUAUUUGAGGCUGUUUUGAUAGGACGUCCCGUGGUCC